rnacentral:rRNA from 1 species
UACGUAGGGUCCGAGCGUUGUCCGGAAUUACUGGGCGUAAAGCGUGCGCAGGCGGUUAUGUAAGACAGGUGUGAAAUCCCCGGGCUUAACCUGGGAACUGCAUUUGUGACUGCAUAGCUAGAGUACGGUAGAGGGGGAUGGAAUUCCGCGUGUAGCAGUGAAAUGCGUAGAUAUGCGGAGGAACACCGAUGGCGAAGGCAAUCCCCUGGACCUGUACUGACGCUCAUGCACGAAAGCGUGGGGAGCAAAAGGG